rnacentral:rRNA from 1 species
CCUACGGGAGGCAGCAGUGGGGAAUCUUGCGCAAUGGGCGAAAGCCUGACGCAGCAACGCCGCGUGCGGGAAGAAGGCCUUCGGGUUGUAAACCGCUUUCAGCAGGAACGAAAAUGACGGUACCUGCAGAAGAAGGUGCGGCCAACUAUGUGCCAGCAGCCGCGGUGAUACAUAGGCACCAAGCGUUGUCCGGAUUUAUUGGGCGUAAAGAGCUCGUAGGCGGUUCAGUCAGUCGGGUGUGAAAACUCUGGGCUUAACCCAGAGCCUGCACCCGAUACUGCUGUGACUAGAGUUCGGUAGGGGAGCGGGGAAUUCCUGGUGUAGCGGUGAAAUGCGCAGAUAUCAGGAGGAACACCGAUGGCGAAGGCACCGCUCUGGGCCGAAACUGACGCUGAGGAGCGAAAGCAUGGGUAGCAAACAGGAUUAGAUACCCUGGUAGUCCAUGCCGUAAACGUUGGGCACUAGGUGUGGGUUCCAAUCAACGGAAUCCGCGCCGUCGCUAACGCAUUAAGUGCCCCGCCUGGGGAGGUACGGUCGCGAGACUAAACUACAAAGAAGUAGACGGCGUGAGACGUGCCGAACGGACGACGACGAGGGAGGUUAGG